rnacentral:rRNA from 1 species
UACGGAGGGUGCGAGCGUUGUCCGGAAUCACUGGGCGUAAAGGGCGCGUAGGUGGCGCGAGGAGUCUGUGGUGAAAGCCCGAGGCUCAACUUCGGGUCGGCCGCGGAUACUCUCGUGCUGGAGGGUGGUAGAGGCCAAUGGAAUUCCGGGUGUAGCGGUGGAAUGCGUAGAGAUCGGAAGGAACACCAGUGGCGAAGGCGGCUACCUGGCCUAAUACUGACACUGAGGCACGAAAGCGUGGGGAGCAAACAGG